AGGAAUCCCAAGCAACUGCGAUUGCUUCAGUAACGGCGAGUGAACUGGCAUUGACUCAUGGCUCAACCUGAAUGAGAUUCCCUUCCCUGCACUGCCCUUCAGCUGUCUGGGGCAGGUUGCGGACGGCUUCUGUGGGUUUCACCAGAUGCUGUGGGCUUUGGAGCAGGCGGCAGUGUCAGGUUGACUGUGGCACCAGGAAGUGACCUGGAAUGGUCCACAACAGAGGGAUAUUGUCCCGUACCCCUGUGCGUGUCCACAGUUGCCUGGUGAUUGCUGUUUGUAUCCACGAGUAGAGUGGCUUGGGACUGCAGUUUGAAGUGCGGGGUGUAUCCACCGCAAGGAGGAAUACCAACAUGGAACCGCUAGCGCACAAGUAGAGUGAUUGAAGGGUGCAAAGGACUUUGCAAAGAGGGUUCAAAGUCCCUGAAGCCUCGGCAGGAUCGGCGGUGAGUGGUGCUGUGGUUUCUGGUCCUGGACCACACCCCACUUGCCAGCACAAACCAUCUGGAUCUGUCCUGUGGUCCUGUGUCUGGCUGUGGUGUGAUGGGUCCAGACCACCAUCCCAAGCAACCUUGGGCCAGCCCGACGCUGGCCACUGAGCCUAUUCCUUCAGGAGUGGAUGCAAUCGUGGCAGCAUUGCGGUGGCACCCUGCCUGCCAGGGCCUGAGGCUUUGCAGAGAUCCCAUCUGACAACACAGGGCUUGUUGUUCACACUCACACCCCCAGAAUGCAAACUCCCGUCGGAGUCUGGUGUGGUGCCAGGAGAAUGUCUUGAAGAAACGGUGCUGAGCCUGGUGCAUUCCUCGGAAUGUGCCAGUCACUGUUGCCCAGCCAUGGCCGGGGUCCUCUGGGGUGUGGUGGCUGCAUCACUCCGCUGAUGUCCACGGCAUCUCGGUGGGAUCCUCCAGAUGGUGCGCAGUGCAGAGUAUGUGCAGCGGAGCUUGGUGAGACAGUGCCACUCCCUGCCCGUCUUGAAACACGGACCAAGGAGUCUAUGGAGCUUGCAGGUUGGCUGGUGUGAUCCUGGAAAACCAGCAGUCUCUCUGUGGUGCAUGGUGAAAGCAACUUUCCCAGAUGGUGCCUCUCUGCUUCAGAAGAAGGCCGGUCUGCAUGGGACACCGGUCCGGAAGCCCAGUGGGCUCGGUUUUGAGUGCGUGCAAGGUCCAUGGGACCCGAAAGGUGGUGAACUAUACCGUUCCACGACGAAGCCGUGGGAAACUGCGGUGGAGGUCGGUCGCUGUUCUGACGUGCAAAUUGUGUAGCCUGAGUGUGGCAUAGGGGUGAAAGGCCAAUCGAGCCAUCUAGUAGCUGGUUUCCCUCGAAGUUUCCCUCAGGAUAGCUGGGCUCGAGUGCAACCCACAGACCUGAGUGGUUACGUCUGGUAAAGCAACGCACGAGAGGCAUUCCUGGGGAGGCCUCCCUCCUCAACCUAUUCUCGAACUGUGAAUGGGCGUGGCAAACCAAGGACAAGGCAUGCUUCUUCACCCUUAUGUCCGAGGCUGGCCUCCUCAGGGGGGACCCAGUUCUCUGGGCUUUCUGAGCGUGUUCGGUGGUGGCUGCUUUGUGCCUGUGGCGAGAUCGUCCCAACAACCAACCCACCAGUGUGUGUGCUGCACCUGGCUGGUGUUGACAUGUGGAUUGGAGCUCUGGGUCUUGGCACAGAGAGAUCAGACGGUGUGCGCAGAGAAGACCCUGUGGGGUGCAGAAUCUGUCCCAAACCCUUUGGCGCAAGGCUGCUGCUGUGGUGAACAAGUGUGCCUAUGUGGACCAAGAUUGGUAAGCAGUGCUGGUGAUGCGGGGUGCUCCGAGAGUGGACUUACAGAUCCCGAGUGCUGGCUCAUACACAGAUCCCACAAAGGAUGUUGCCUGCUCUGGAUAGCAGGUCGGUGGCCAUGAAGGUUGGAAUCCGCUGAGGAAUGUGUAACAACUCACCUGCCGAAGUGUGCAGCUCCGAAAAUGGAUGGUGCCCAAGUCAGUGAAGCUGAAUUUGCCUUACAGUCCGCCGCCGCUGUGGCAGCAGAGCAGAGCAUCGUUGUGUAGAAAGGACAUGGGAGAUUGCAGUGCCUGUUGGGGCCAACCCCAACUGGAGCGUCUUCUGGCGCAGAUCUUGGUUGUAGUAGCGAGUACUCCAUCAGGUGAAGAGUGGAAAAACCCUGCUGUGUGUGGUUGAGGACUGGAGUGGAGCAGGUUUCCACACCAACAGCCGUUGAAUGUGGGUCAGUCGACCGUGAGCCAAGUGGUAAAUCACUGAACAACCAAAGCUGUCAAGGCCAACACGGGGUGCCUCCCCCGUCUUCCCACUCGUGGGGGGAUGGGUGUGGGGUUGCCUCCCAAUCGGCCUCCGGUCCCUGGGGUUCACACUCCUCCCUGCACCACCCAUCACCCCCUUCCGUGUCCCUGUGGGGAUGGUGGGGGAAGGCUCUGGUCUGGAUCCAGGAGUUGGGUUCCUUGGGCUGUGGGGUCUGGCAUUGGUGACAGGAGUGGCAAACAGGCAAGCAUGUGCAACAUUCUGCUGUGAUGGGCUUGGAACGCCCUUUUGGAACGGUGGUGACGCCUCGUGAUUUGGGCAAGCAGGCUUCGGGGCAGUGCACCCCCUGAGGAGUUCUCGUUUCCUCCUGAUGCAGUCUCAUGUGGGCUAUGGAUUGGCAUGACAGAUGGGGAUGUAUGCCCUCCACUCAGCAAGGCAGCGUGCUCUUUGCGCUGAUGGUGUGGCAACUCUCUGGCAGGCCCAGAAGCAAAGCAAAAAUGGCAGACCAUAUAUGGUGGUCACUGGCUCCACUGAACAGCCUGUGGGGACAUUUGUGUUCCUGGCCCCUUGUCUUCGUACUGAAUCACCGCAGCCGGUCUCCUCGGCUGAACGCCGCUGGUCUACAGGAAUGAAUGCAGCUAAGGGAAGUCGGCAAACUAGCCGUGUACCUUCGGAAGAUGCGGUGGCUCCAGAGGCCAAGUCACCAGGCCCUGUCGCUUGCUGCCCCUCGGUGGGGGUGGGCACCCGUCGAGGGUGACUUCGGUUGCUCGAGGUGGGAAGCCUGCCCCUUGCUGGGGGUGGUGUUGGCUGGCAGGGGGCUGGGGUGCCCUCGGGUGCCUCAGUCCACCCUGGUGUCUACACAGUGGCUCACAUGGAACUGUUGCUGUGCAGGGGAAUCUGACUGUUUAAUUGAAACCCAGCUUUGUGACGGGACCAGCUGGCUGGUUCCAUGAGGUGACUUCUGCCCAGUGCUCUGAUUGUCAUGGCGAAGAGAUUCAGCCAAGCGCGGGUAAACGGCGGGAGUAACUAUGACUCUCUUAAGGUAGCCAAAUGCCUCGUCAACCAAUUAUUGACGCGCAUGAAUGGAUCAACGAGAUUCCUGCUGUCCCUAGGUGCUGUCCGGUGAACCUACAGCCAAGGGAACGGGCUUGGGCGUGUCAGCGGGGAAAGAAGAGCCUGUUGAGA
rnacentral:rRNA from 1 species